GAUGAACGCUGGCGGCGUGCCUAAUACAUGCAAGUCGAGCGAAUGGAUUAAGAGCUUGCUCUUAUGAAGUUAGCGGCGGACGGGUGAGUAACACGUGGGUAACCUGCCCAUAAGACUGGGAUAACUCCGGGAAACCGGGGCUAAUACCGGAUAACAUUUUGAACCGCAUGGUUCGAAAUUGAAAGGCGGCUUCGGCUGUCACUUAUGGAUGGACCCGCGUCGCAUUAGCUAGUUGGUGAGGUAACGGCUCACCAAGGCAACGAUGCGUAGCCGACCGGAGAGGGUGAUCGGCAACACUGGGACGGAGACACGGCCCAGACUCCUACGGGAGGCAGCAGUAGGGAAUCUUCCGCAAUGGACGAAAGUCUGACGGAGCAACGCCGCGUGAGUGAUGAAGGCUUUCGGGUCGUAAAACUCUGUUGUUAGGGAAGAACAAGUGCUAGUUGAAUAAGCUGGCACCUUGACGGUACCUAACCAGAAAGCCACGGCUAACUACGUGCCAGCCGCCGCAGUAA
rnacentral:rRNA from 1 species